rnacentral:rRNA from 1 species
CCUACGGGAGGCAGCAGUGGGGAAUAUUGGGCAAUGGGCGCAAGCCUGACCCAGCAACGCCGCGUGAAGGAAGAAGGCUUUCGGGUUGUAAACUUCUUUUCUCAGGGACGAAGCAAGUGACGGUACCUGAGGAAUAAGCCACGGCUAACUACGUGCCAGCAGCCGCGGGAAUACGUAGGUGGCAAGGGUUAUCCGGAUUUACUGGGUGUAAAGGGCGUGUAGGCGGGAAAGCAAGUCAGAUGUGAAAACCAUGGGCUCAACCUGUGGCCUGCAUUUGAAACUGUUUUUCUUGAGUACUGGAGAGGCAGACGGAAUUCCUAGUGUAGCGGUGAAAUGCGUAGAUAUUAGGAGGAACACCAGUGGCGAAGGCGGUCUGCUGGACAGCAACUGACGCUGAGGCGCGAAAGCGUGGGGAGCAAACAGGAUUAGAUACCCGAGUAGUC